GGACGAGAAGCUUGCUUCUCUGAUGUUAGCGGCGGACGGGUGAGUAACACGUGGAUAACCUACCUAUAAGACUGGGAUAACUUCGGGAAACCGGAGCUAAUACCGGAUAAUAUUUUGAACCGCAUGGUUCAAAAGUGAAAGACGGUCUUGCUGUCACUUAUAGAUGGAUCCGCGCUGCAUUAGCUAGUUGGUAAGGUAACGGCUUACCAAGGCAACGAUGCAUAGCCGACCUGAGAGGGUGAUCGGCCACACUGGAACUGAGACACGGUCCAGACUCCUACGGGAGGCAGCAGUAGGGAAUCUUCCGCAAUGGGCGAAAGCCUGACGGAGCAACGCCGCGUGAGUGAUGAAGGUCUUCGGAUCGUAAAACUCUGUUAUUAGGGAAGAACAUAUGUGUAAGUAACUGUGCACAUCUUGACGGUACCUAAUCAGAAAGCCACGGCUAACUACGUGCCAGCAGCCGCGGUAAUACGUAGGUGGCAAGCGUUAUCCGGAAUUAUUGGGCGUAAAGCGCGCGUAGGCGGUUUUUUAAGUCUGAUGUGAAAGCCCACGGCUCAACCGUGGAGGGUCAUUGGAAACUGGAAAACUUGAGUGCAGAAGAGGAAAGUGGAAUUCCAUGUGUAGCGGUGAAAUGCGCAGAGAUAUGGAGGAACACCAGUGGCGAAGGCGACUUUCUGGUCUGUAACUGACGCUGAUGUGCGAAAGCGUGGGGAUCAAACAGGAU
rnacentral:rRNA from 1 species